UUCGAUUCAAUCUCUCAUCAGCUCCUUCAAAGCUUGCAGUACCAAUAGCACUCGCAGGCCAUGGGCGCAUCAGCAUUGAAGCCAGUAUUGAGUCCUGAACAAAAAAAAACAUAAAACAUGUGGCUUUGUUGUGAUAGUCGAUCACGCUGGAAUUCUAAUCUCAAGGCGACUGUAGUUGGAGGAUCAUCUGCUCCUGCACCGAAUGUCAGCUCGGUCUCAUUUUCAGGCAAACUUGGAACGGAGGGAGUAAGUAACAUCACACAGUGAAGACUGGAGAAGUGGAGACUGGAGAAUACAAUAGCAGGAGCAGCUAGGCGUC